UCUAGCGAUUAUGCCCUAAUGGUAAUCCACGUUCCAAUACCGAACAGGUCGGUUAAGCUUUAAUGCAACCAUGGUACUGCGGGGGUGACCUUGUGGAAGAGUAGGUUGUCGCCAGGU
rnacentral:rRNA from 1 species